rnacentral:rRNA from 1 species
GGAUGAACGCUGGCGGCGUGCCUAAUACAUGCAAGUCGAGCGAACAGACGAGGAGCUUGCUCCUCUGAUGUUAGCGGCGGACGGGUGAGUAACACGUGGAUAACCUACCUAUAAGACUGGGAUAACUUCGGGAAACCGGAGCUAAUACCGGAUAACAUGUUGAACCGCAUGGUUCAACAGUGAAAGACGGUCUUGCUGUCACUUAUAGAUGGAUCCGUGCCGCAUUAGCUAGUUGGUAAGGUAACGGCUUACCAAGGCAACGAUGCGUAGCCGACCUGAGAGGGUGAUCGGCCACACUGGAACUGAGACACGGUCCAGACUCCUACGGGAGGCAGCAGUAGGGAAUCUUCCGCAAUGGGCGAAAGCCUGACGGAGCAACGCCGCGUGAGUGAAGAAGGUCUUCGGAUCGUAAAACUCUGUUAUUAGGGAAGAACAAAUGUGUAAGUAACUAUGCACGUCUUGACGGUACCUAAUCAGAAAGCCACGGCUAACUACGUG